UCCCUGGUAGCUCAGUUGGUAGAGCGGAUGACUGUUAAUCAUUAGGUCGGCGGUUCGAGCCCGUCCCAGGGAGCCA
rnacentral:tRNA from 1 species